rnacentral:misc_RNA from 1 species
AUCAAAUUGCCAGCAGCACAUAUUACCCCCAAAGAAACCGAAGACCGCGAAAUCGCCGAUCACGUAGCCGCGCCGAUCUGAUUCUGACAAUCGGCGUCAAAAGCGAUACGACUAUUCGAAUCAAUCGCGGUAAGGCUAAACUGUUACUAGAUCUCUGUCGGGGGAAAGUAUGAGCAAAGAAGAGGGGAAGAACAUGGCCUCUUCGGCCACCGGCGAACCUUUGCCGGCAAACUAUUACUACGGUACAUUUCAAGGAGUAGCAAAUCAUCCGCCUCCUCCUCCACAGUCUCACCCGGUGUUCGGUUUUCCUCAGCCCGUUCCUCCUCCUGGUGUCGCCGGCGCUCCUCCUCAAUACUAUCCUCAGGGUUAUCAAACUGUUCACGGUUAUGCUGUUGCUGAAGGUAGACCUAUGAGGGAGCACCGUCUUCCUUGCUGUGGUGUGGGGAUCGGCUGGGUCUUGUUCAUCUCUGGUUUCUUUCUUGGUACCAUACCUUGGUAUGUUGGAGCUUUUCUUCUUUUGUGUGUACGGAUCGAUUAUAGAGAGAAGGCUGGCCUUAUAGCAUGCACAUUAGGGGCCAUGCUUGCUUUAAUUGCUGUGACUUUUGGUGUGACAAAGGCAACUCAUUCCUGGUGAGGCUAUUUAGGCUGCAAUAUCUAAACUUAUCGUGGCGAUCUCCAUAGAAAAGGGGGGAAAGAGAGAAAGGAUAGAGCAACUUUUGUAAUUGGUUUUUGUUUGUGAGAUGUGUCCUUUUCUCAGUAUGUAUAUCAAAUAUUGACUUGGGUGGUUCUUAUGCUAAACAGGCACUUUCCUUUGUAAUGUUUAUGCUACUUCUUGGUUUUGCUCAAAUAGUGAUGUAUAUUUUUUGAAAAUUCCCCAAAAUAUAAGUGCAGAAAUAUAUUCAGCUCCAUUGGGG